rnacentral:rRNA from 1 species
UGGGGAUUCGGGAACUCUCUAUACCAUUGUGACGAAUCGACCGGUUGCUUCGGCGGACGGCUUGCCGCCGCCGGAAGAACUCAAACUCUUGUUAUCAUUGCCUCUCUGAGUAACUUACUUAAUAAGUUAAAACUUUCAACAACGGAUCUCUUGGUUCUGGCAUCGAUGAAGAACGCAGCGAAAUGCGAUAAGUAAUGUGAAUUGCAGAAUUCAGUGAAUCAUCGAAUCUUUGAACGCACAUUGCGCCCGCCAGUAUUCUGGCGGGCAUGCCUGUUCGAGCGUCAUUUCAACCAUCAAGCCCCAGGCUUGUGUUGGGGGUCUGCAGCUGCUGCAGCCCCCUAAAAGCAGUGGCGGACUCGCUGUCAUUCCGAGCGCAGUAGUUACAUCUCGCUCUGGACGUGGCGGCGGGCACCUGCCGUGAAACACUCUUUCUAAGGUUGACCUCGGAUCAGGUAGGAAUACCCGCUGAACUUAAGCAUAUCAAUAAGCGGAGGAA